GAAUUAAAUUUUGUUAUUAAUAAGUGGAAAUGAUUUAUUAAAAGUGAAAAAUAUAAUUUCUAAGUGUAUCCUCAACGUAAAAACAAUAAAAUAAAGUCGAAAUAAUAUUUACGUUAUUAGUGAAGUGAAAAGAAAACAAUAUUAUUUUGGAGAAAUCUAUUCUCCUUGAUCUGAACUUCUUAAAAGAUACAGCGAGGGAUCUCUAAUGUUCUAAUAGAUCGAAAUAUAAUUCUCAAUCGGCUGAUACACUGAUAAGAAAGGAUACCAUAUUGCCACGAAAUCAAAACAACCGCCUGGUUAUGGUUAAUCAAUCGAUGGCAAAGACCACCAACAGGAAGGAAAAUAAUCUACACAAUUGAAAAAUUCCAGAAAAGAUCCGUGAUGAUAGUGUAAAGAUUCAGAGAUCCAAUCAGAGAAAAAGAAUAGGAUUCGAAUGCUGCAAAAGAAACUCAACAUGGAAUCACCUAAUGAUAGAAUACUCAUGGAUGGCCAUAUAAAUGGAAUAAUGGAAAUGAAAAGAAACGAAAACUACUCAAUAGCAAAACAAGAAAACGAAACUAUUAGAAAUAAUUGUAACUGUAAACUCCAUGGUGGAAGCCCAAAAUGUUUUGCAAGUGGAUAUAAAUGAUUACAUGAGGUGGAACAACAUGACCUCAAGAGGGUGAGACCAGAACUCACUCAGUCAUGUAGUUGACAUGACACUCUGUAAACGAGCAUAGAUAUUAAAGAUAUUGAUUGUUUUUCUUUUUGCCGGUCAAUUGAUUUAUUUUAAUUUCUUUAA